rnacentral:rRNA from 1 species
UGCCUACGGGUGGCUGCAGUGGGGAAUUUUGGACAAUGGGCGCAAGCCUGAUCCAGCCAUGCCGCGUGCAGGAUGAAGGCCUUCGGGUUGUAAACUGCUUUUGUACGGAACGAAAAGACUCUGGUUAAUACCUGGGGUCCAUGACGGUACCGUAAGAAUAAGCACCGGCUAACUACGUGCCAGCAGCCGCGGUAAUACGUAGGGUGCGAGCGUUAAUCGGAAUUACUGGGCGUAAAGCGUGCGCAGGCGGUUAUGUAAGACAGAUGUGAAAUCCCCGGGCUCAACCUGGGAACUGCAUUUGGGACUGCAUAGCUAGAGUACGGCAGAGGGGGAUGGAAUUCCGCGUGUAGCAGUGACAUGCGUAGAUAUGCGGAGGAACACCGAUGGCGAAGGCAAUCCCCUGGGCCUGUACUGACGCUCAUGCACGAAAGCGUGGGGAGCAAACAGGAUUAGAUACCCUUGUAGUCUCU